rnacentral:rRNA from 1 species
GAUCCUGGCUCAGGAUGAACGCUAGCGGCAGGCUUAACACAUGCAAGUCGAGGGGCAGCAUGGUCUUAGCUUGCUAAGGCCGAUGGCGACCGGCGCACGGGUGAGUAACGCGUAUCCAACCUGCCUUACACUCUUGGACAGCCUUCUGAAAGGGAGAUUAAUACAAGAUGUUAUCAUGAGUAAGCAUUUUCGCAUGAUUAAAGGUUUACCGGUGUAAGAUGGGGACGCGUUCCA